rnacentral:lncRNA from 1 species
CUCACACAAGGAUCAAAGCCAGACCCUUCACUAACAUGGAGCUAUUUCCAGGAUUAGCUUCAAUCAUAACAUCAUGGUCUAUUAGAGCCUGGUAACAUGAAAGCUUCAGACUUAGCUACAUUGUCCAUGUGUGGGCAGCACAUUAAAUGACGUCCUCCGCAGAACAACCAUAUGGGCUUGCAACAGUUCGUAUUUUAUCUUAGUCAUUUAAAACCUGACAUAUUUUAGUUGACGUAGCAGAUGCUCGGAAUCCUGGACUGGAAUAUUCUUUCACAAGAAAUGAAUGCUUCACUUCUCGGUUGGUUCCUUUACAUUGAAUUGCUUCACAGUCAUCACCUUCCAUUGAAUUAAAUGGCCUAAGGCAGAAACUCUAAAGCUUAGGAGUUGCUCUGGGCUAGGUUUCAUAUUGGAGAUUACAAUUCAACCAGUCUCUGAAAAGACGUGAAAGUGAAGAGUGUGAGAAAACAAAAGUGAACCAAACAUGUCUCUGGAUCCAUUUUAGAUUCUCUGUGACUUCAGAUGUCCGUGUCACGCCUGAAGGGAAAAGACGCAGGCAGUCUCUCCAUCAGCCUGUUACCAGAUUGAUGAGAAGCGACAAACAAGCUUGGUCAGCCAGCUGCAGCAGCAGCAUCCGGGCCUCCGGACGCCAGCGCUUCCCUGGCAGCCGCUUGUUUCAUUUGGACCUCUGCAAUGUUUACGUUGAGGGAUCGUUCGGGGAACACGUGCAAAAGCUGGACUGCACUGGAAGCGGCAGCUCUAUUAUUUAGCGAGCAGAAACAAUGAGCUGCAGUUGCAUAAGGGUGCAGACAGCGGUGAUUAAUAUAGAUUAUGAGCAAGAGGCUUCAGGGGAUUUUGGCAGCGGCAAUGAUGAUGACGAAUGUAAACAGAAACCGCAACAGAUCCACACCCAGCAGCUACUGAGGAGGACGAUGAAGCUGGAUGUGUUUGGUAGUUCUGCCCCAUCUGCUCCGCCAUCAUCCACCCAGGAAUCCGAAAUUCAUUUCCAUCUUUAAAAUGGUUCAAGCUCGCUUUCAACCAGCGGAGCAGCGUGUGCAUCUUUUAUCUUGGCUUUAUUAUUGUUUUGGAACAACUUUAUGACUUUAUGGCUAUAACAUUUAACAGUCCCAGAUGAGGCUCAUUUAGAUCUGACUUAGAUUUCUUCUUCUCUGCCUGUCUUUAUUUGCCCACUUGCCCCUUUUGUUCUGGUUUCGUCGUGUCGUCCAUGUGAAAGCGUAUCAUUGUCAGAACCUCGUCUAGGAGGUCACAGAUAUUAGCGUACUGUACAUAUGGUCAUAAAUAUGGAUUUUUUUUAAUGUUUACAGUCAAUGUCAGACUGAAAUAGCUCAUAUACGUUGGAGGUAAAUAUAUAAAUAUACAUUAAAGUCAAACUCAAACUUACUCUAUUUAGCUUUUUACCUUUCAUAAAGAAGCCCAUGUUCUACCAGGUUUGGCCUGUUUGAAAAAGAAAAAGCUUUCCUUUUCAAGCACACCUAAAGGGAAAUAACAGAAAUCAGGCUACUUUGAAAAUCGAGAUACAAAGGUUGCAGCACCAAACUGUCAAUGAAGCAUCUUGAAGAGUUGGGAGAUUUUGAUCUGUCGAAGUGUGAUGCAUGUCUGAGGCGAGUUCAGGUCUCUCUCUGGAGUCUGCUCCUCCUGAUGGAUGAGUGUUCGUGCUUUCAAGGUUUUCUGGGUUGGCAAAAACAUUUGUCUCCUUGGGUCUUAUUAUAACUAACCAGCAUGUUCUAGCUGUGAAACACUAUUACUAUUAAAAUGAUGCAUAAAUCAUUGUGUCCACAAAUGAGGAGAUAAAUGGGCACAAUGUUGGCGCUAUUUCAAUAUUAGAAUAAAACGUAUUGUUCACAUUGGCGUAAAUACUAU